UACGGAGGGGGUUAGCGUUGUUCGGAAUUACUGGGCGUAAAGCGCAACGUAGGCGGAUCAGAAAGUUGGGGGUGAAAUCCCGGGGACCUCAACCCCGGAACUGCCUCCGAAAACUCCUGGUUCUUGAGUUCGAGAGAGGUGAGUUGGAAUUCCGAGGUGUAGAGGUGAAAUUCGUAA
rnacentral:rRNA from 1 species